rnacentral:rRNA from 1 species
GGUAGUCCACGCCCUAAACGUUGCGAACUAGGUGUUGGUCGGAUUGACCCGAUCAGUGCCGCAGCUAACGCAUUAAGUUCGCCGCCUGGGGACUACGGCCGCAAGGUUAAAACUCAAAGGAAUAGGCGGGGGCCCGCACAAGCAGCGGAGCGUGUGGUUUAAUUCGAGGCAACGCGAAGAACCUUACCUGGGCUUGACAUGCACAGGAAACGUCGGUGAAAGCCGGCGCCUCCCGCAAGGGAUCUGUGCACAGGUGGUGCAUGGCUGUCGUCAGCUCGUGCCGUGAGGUGUUGGGUUAAG